UAAUACAGAGGUCUCGAGCGUUAAUCGGAAUCACUGGGCUUAAAGGGUGCGUAGGCGGCCCCGAAAGCGUCGUGUGAAAGCCCCUGGCUCAACCAGGGAAAUGCACGGCGAACUGCGGGGCUUGAGAAAACUAGGGGCUGACAGAACAGUAGGUGGAGCGGUGAAAUGCGUAGAUAUCUACUGGAAUGCCGAUGGUGAAGACGGUCAGCUGGGGUUUUUCUGACGCUGAGGCACGAAAGCGUGGGGAGCAAACAGGAUUAGAUACCCUGGUAGUCCACGCCGUAAACGAUGCACACUAGACCGGUGCCGCUCUGACGCGGUAUCGGUCGCCGUAAAAACAGUAAGUGUGCCGCCUGGGGAGUACGGUCGCAAGGCUA
rnacentral:rRNA from 1 species